UAGCAGAAUGAUCAACCCAGAGCCAGGACUGAAGACCGGACCUCGCGGCCCAAACAUCAGACCGGCCUACUGGGAAUUGUCCCGGUCCUCCCGGUUAGCCACCCCGGGCCUGUUUGUCGCCAUGUUUCGGACGACAUACUAAACUAUCACAUUUUUUUCAGAAUUUUGGACGACAUAAUAAUAAAGGAGAGGGAAAAAGACACUGCCGAAAAGUUCAUAAGAAACAGAGUUUUCGGUUCCAGAAUGGCUGAUUUAAGUUGGUUUAAUCAACUCGGAGUAGUGUUACCUGGAAUUAAACGCGUGCACCACAACUAGAAAAAGACAGCAUCAAUGGAGCCAAGAUUCGAUGAGUCACCACGGCAACGGGGAAUCGGAUGACUGCAUUUUUCACCCCAUUUGAAUUGGAAAUCUUAGUGCACACAAAUGGCGAGUUUGAACAUGUUUUUAGAAAGAAGCGCAACACCGCUGCAGCUGCAAAAGAGAGGGAGACGGCGUGGAGAACACUGCUGCCCGGGUCAAAGCAUCUCUACAUCAUUCACCUGCAAUCCUGUGGAACUGCUCCUUGAUGCUCUGACAGGUUUAUGUCCAGGGAAAACACAAAGAUGGUAAAAGACGUUUCAGGAUCAGGAACACUUUUCUGACCGUCCUGCAUACAGUGGCCUUACUUCAGUGCUCUGCAUCUCCGACAUCAUAUAAAAAACUUUCAUUUGCAAAGAACCGCAGCGCACCACACAAUAUCUGCUGGAUGUGAUCCAAAAGAGCUACUCAGCAGACUGACUUAUGUGAAGUGGCUCAUGCUAAUGACCGCAAUUACCAUGCUAGGGCUUAGCGGCAUCUGUGAAAUUUGCAUUACAACAACCCCCAUUGACACUUCCUGGAGCUCCCAACAACCAUCGUCAAGGAGCCAGACGGGUCUUGGCAAUGGUUGCUGGAAUAUGAAUAGCACUGAACACACCUCACAGAGGUUAAAAGCUGAGGGAACACCAACCACCACCACAACUGAAGAAGUCUCGUGGACGAGAGGAGAAACGUCUUCGAGGAGAAACGUCUUCGAGGAACUUUCUUAAAGUCCAGUGGAUUGAUUUAAAUAACUAUGGAUAACCUCCCUGAAAGGUUUCAGUUUGUUUUUUAAAUUUCAUUGUACAGUUUAUAGGUCACAUUAAAGGUGGAAAAAGUUGUGAAA